rnacentral:lncRNA from 1 species
AGAUUGCAAAGCCAUCCCAGAAACUCCCACCGCAUCCAGAAGCUCAAAGUAAAGACAAAAUGUCACAUUUUUCAGCUCGGAAAGUCAACACUCCGGGCCUCGGGAAUUUGCAACAGGUCCGCGGCUGAGGGCUGGAAGAGGCCGGCACAUUCCGCGCCCCGUCCCCGUCCUGAGGCAGCUGCCGGGACUGUCCGACAACGACCCAGGGUCCGGGCGCCCCUGCGGCGGCCGCCCCGUCUGCGCUCCAGGCGCCCGAGACCUGGGGUCCGGCAAGGGCUGGGGGCGGGUCGGAGGGGAGUGAGGGAGAAGGGAAAGGGCGGGAAGGGGCAAAGGGCAGCCGCCGCCAAGGGGAAGCUGGCGGCCGAGAGGGGCGGGACGGGGGCAGAGCUCGGGGCUGAGGAGGCGCGGGCGGGAAAGGGAGCCGACGGCGGACGCGCCGGGGCCGGGGCCGGGGCUGGGGCGGCAGGAGGGCCGACAGGGUGCCCCCGGCUCCCGGCCAGCCGGAACGGUCAAGCGCGGCCGAGGGGCCGCCCAGGAAGCGCGGGGACACGGCCCCGGCAGGCGGACGACAGGACGACAACCCCGUCGGCCGGAGGGCCAGGCCCGGCCGGGGGGCCGGCCCAGGGCACGGUGGGACAGGGCCAGACAGCGACCGCCUGGGCCCUGCCCAGUCACACACUCACCUCCCAGCGGCAGAGGCGGUUGCCCGAUCCAGUCCAGUGGGCUCCGCUCUUCUCCCAGACCCAGGGCCCGGAGCCCCGGAGCCCAAUAGGUGUGAGGGGCGCCCAGCGCCACUGUACUCUCCCACUGCGCUUGCGUCGCAGGGACCGCAGCCCCGCCUCCGCUCCUGCUCGUCCCACCCUCGUGACUCGGCAGCGCGCGGACGACGGGGGGCGGGGAAAUCAAGGGCCAAAGCGCAAGCGCAUUUCAGAAGCACGUGCGGAUGACAUCACUUCCUGUUAUUCUUUCUCUUUCCCUCCUUAUCUCUUCCAGUUUUUUUCUGUCUUCCCCACGCCUCUUUUUUUUUUCUCUUUAGCCGGGUGGCCUUGGAGAUUUGUCUUUCUCCUACUUCUUCCCCACUAA